rnacentral:rRNA from 1 species
GACGAACGCUGGCGGCGUGCUUAACACAUGCAAGUCGAACGGAAAGGCCCUGCUUUUGUGGGGUGCUCGAGUGGCGAACGGGUGAGUAACACGUGAGUAACCUGCCCUUGACUUUGGGGUAACUUCAGGAAACUGGGGCUAAUACCGGAUAGGAGCUCCUGCUGCAUGGUGGGGGUUGGAAAGUUUCGGCGGUUGGGGAUGGACUCGCGGCUUAUCAGCUUGUUGGUGGGGUAGUGGCUUACCAAGGCUUUGACGGGUAGCCGGCCUGAGAGGGUGACUGGCCACAUUGGGACUGAGAUACGGCCCAGACUCCUACGGGAGGCAGCAGUGGGGAAUAUUGCACAAUGGGCGGAAGCCUGAUGCAGCAACGCCGCGUGCGGGAUGACGGCCUUCGGGUUGUAAACCGCUUUCGCCUGUGACGAAGCGUGAGUGACGGUAAUGGGUAAAGAAGCACCGGCUAACUACGUG